UUCACAGAUGGACUGUGAUCCUGGUUUUCUCUUUUUACUAGAGAAAAGGCAGAAACUGGACUGGGAGUGACAACCAGCACAAACAGAUAAGAAGGUGUGAUGAUAUAAAGUUAAAUUAAUAUUCUCAUGUAAACAACAGUGGAUUUGUUGUCUGGUCUGACUUCUGAUGAAAUGAUAUCAAAUAUGAGAAGAAGGCCUGAAGCAUCUGACAAAUGUCUGUGUGCAGAGGGAAGACAGUUGUCCAGGAUUCCCAGAGCAGAGGAGUAAAUCCCAGUCCUGGACCGGUUCCCAGGCGUUGCGUGCAGAAGGGCGGAUCCAGCGGAGCUGCUGCUGCCCAUCAACAUCCAAACACGUCCAAUAGAAGCCACAAACCCCUCCACUUCCACAGCGCAGCUGGAGGAUCAGAUGUUUACACUGAAGACAGAAGCUGAGCUCACAGAGCCUGUGAAACGUCAGAGCCAUGAACAGAUGAUCUCAGUGACCAGCACAACAACACACACAGCGUCUUAUUUAUUAGAGCACCAGCAACGCUGAUUCCCUUUCACACUUGUUUGCGCAGACCGUCUAUAUGAUUCAGGUCUGGGUUGGGAAUUUUAGCGGCAGUGUUCAUGUUUGGCAUCAGUGUUUAUCAUCUCAUGAGGAAUUGUACCACUGCACAACCUAUUUAUUUAUAUGUACAGUAUAUUCAGUCGUGAAACACUCGAUACUUUCGCAGACGACGAUGAGAAGCAGCUGUGAAAACAUCAGUAUGCUGGAGAGCAGAGAUCGCAGCACAACCUCUAAAUACACUGAGUUUAUAAACUAUGGCUGAGGAAUGAGCUGGAACAUGUGGCCUCCACGCAAAACACACCGUGGCACGCAACCCUCCGACAGACAGCCCGCUCCGCCAACAUACCAUUACUUCAUAGUGCUUUCCUGCUUCUGCAACCCAAAGAGCUUUAAUUCAGCGCAGUCAAAUAAAUCACUCACACGUUUCAAGAUGUUCAACCAAAAUCCAUUUCUCAGCUUUAUUUCGGGUCCUCGGCAGAUUCUACAUAUAAUAUGUUCAUGUUAGUUUUUCACUAACCUCUAAUGCAAUAGAAGUAUUUGG